rnacentral:rRNA from 1 species
AGUGAACGCUGGCGGUAGGCCUAACACAUGCAAGUCGAACGGCAGCACAGUAAGAGCUUGCUCUUACGGGUGGCGAGUGGCGGACGGGUGAGGAAUACAUCGGAAUCUACUUUUUCGUGGGGGAUAACGUAGGGAAACUUACGCUAAUACCGCAUACGACCUACGGGUGAAAGCAGGGGAUCUUCGGACCUUGCGCGAUUGAAUGAGCCGAUGUCGGAUUAGCUAGUUGGCGGGGUAAAGGCCCACCAAGGCGACGAUCCGUAGCUGGUCUGAGAGGAUGAUCAGCCACACUGGAACUGAGACACGGUCCAGACUCCUACGGGAGGCAGCAGUGGGGAAUAUUGGACAAUGGGCGCAAGCCUGAUCCAGCCAUACCGCGUGGGUGAAGAAGGCCUUCGGGUUGUAAAGCCCUUUUGUUGGGAAAGAAAAGCAGCAGGUUAACACCCCGCUGUUCUGACGGUACCCAAAGAAUAAGCACCGGCUAACUUCGAG